rnacentral:lncRNA from 1 species
GCCGAAGCGAGAUUGUUCUCGUUCGCCACCGUGCCCGAAAUGUGGAGGUAAGUGCGUGCAUGUAUGUCUAAUUUUCAGCAAUAGCACUAUAUUGAAGUAUGCAGGAAGCAAUAAUCUUCCCAGGACCCCUAAAUGGGCACGUUGACGGCAUCACUGCAUGUACGACGUGGAAAUAAUGUGUACGUUUAUUUCCAGGACCGACACGAUCAAGAACUGAUAAAAUAUUUGAGUUUAGAUUCGCUUAUGCAAACAUCGCCACUAAGCAGAUACACAAACUCGAAGAAAGGCAAAAAGAUCUCGUGCAGACCUGCACUGGGAGCGUGUCGUCAGCACACAACGUUUUUAGCCAGAUUAGGGCAUCCACGAUGCAGGUAGAUGGGGCAAGAUAGUUAUAUCCGGCUACAUGCGAUACGGAUGCAUCGUAUUUGGAGGUGCAUCAGCUUCAUAUCCAAGUAAUGCAACUUUUUCCAUGUAUUUUCAGGUGCUGCAGUUGAUGUAUUCUUGGGUGGCUAAUUUUUCACUCAAACAUGCAGCGCAGAGAAAAGAGUUUCGAAGAAGACUGCUGUGGAUUUUUACGUCUUGUGUCGUGAGAUUGCCG